rnacentral:piRNA from 1 species
UGCAAACUGUUGUUCCUGGGUAUGUC